CUGCUGCCUUCCGUAGGAGUUUGGGCCGUGUCUCAGUCCCAAUGUGGCCGUGCCNCUCNGCGGC
rnacentral:rRNA from 1 species